GACGAACGCUGGCGGCGUGCCUAAUACAUGCAAGUAGAACGCUGAAGGAGGAGCUUGCUCUUCUGGAUGAGUUGCGAACGGGUGAGUAACGCGUAGGUAACCUGCCUGGUAGCGGGGGAUAACUAUUGGAAACGAUAGCUAAUACCGCAUAACAGUAGAUGUUGCAUGACAUUUACUUAAAAGGUGCAAUUGCAUCACUACCAGAUGGACCUGCGUUGUAUUAGCUAGUUGGUGGGGUAACGGCUCACCAAGGCGACGAUACAUAGCCGACCUGAGAGGGGGGUCGGCCAAACUGGGACUGAGACACGGCCCAGACUCCUACGGGAAGCAGCAGGAGGGAAUCUUCGGCAAUGGACGGAAGUCUGAACGAGCAACGCCGCGGGAGUGAAGAAGGGUUUCGGAUCGGAAAGCUCUGUUGUAAGAGAAGAACGAGUGUGGGAGUGGAAAGUUCACACUGUGACGGUAUCUUACCAGAAAGGGACGGCUAACUACGUG
rnacentral:rRNA from 1 species